GCGGAUGAGAACUGGUUCUGCUUCUUGCAACUGUUCUUCUCCCGACUUUCCAGCUCACUCCUCCCUCGUACCUUUCCCUCCGACCAGUGGGAUUUGGAUUGAAAUCUUCCCCACUCUGCCGGCUACCACGGGGCAGUGAGACGAUGCUGUUCACUGGAGGAGGAGCGGGUCCUAGUGAGGUGAAACUUACCACCAAGUGGGACGGGAAAACGUUCGAAAAAACAACAGAGGGCAACGACAACAGCCACAAGGAAGGAAAAGUUGAAGUAUGAAGCCGAGACACCAGACACGCUGGUCAGACGGAUGUAGCAGUCUGUCACAUGAUCCUUCUGCUCCCGCCAUAUCAUCAGGACAGCGCAGAAUUGACUUCCGAGCACCUCCGAGCCAAGCUUUACGAUGGACAGUGCAUGUUGUGCAACAACGUGAGGAGCCCAGGCUUUGUCUGAAUCGCCAAUUUUCCACCCAAAGAACAGUAAAGGCUUUCUCAAUAAGAGGAGUCAAUUUCCUUCUUUGAGAUCUUAGUGUAUACUCGUCAGAAAUGUGACAGAGAGUCGUAGUUGUUGCAACAUUGGCAAGACAUUCUGCAAUCACAAAUACUCCUGAAAAUACUUUAUUAUAAUGAAUACAGUAGAUGAACAUCAAUGUGAUUGCAAACCAAUAUCAUGUAAACACAAUGCAUAGAAUGGUGUGUGUGUGAUGCUUUAUUCCCUUUCGAAAACCUGUCCUGCCUUGUAGCAUCCACCCUGCCUAAGCAAGCCCAGGAAUACCUGGACACGAUGGAGAUCUUUUCACUUUACAUUGCGGGCAACAUUUUAAUUGAUUUGAAUAAUGAAUUGAAAUAACAAAUAUAGGUGAUUUUUGAAAAAUGGUGAGUGAUAGGGAGAUUUCAUGGUGAUUUUGCUUGAUCAGCAGCCCAAAAUCCAUAAAGUACACCAAAAGUAUUCAGGAAGCAAUUCUUUGUUGUCCGGUGUUACUGACCUUGUCGGAGGGAAACCAGAGGGUCAUGAGCCAGUCCUCAUCGGAAGGUCAGAGGUGGAGAGGGUCAGCAACUUUAAAUUCCGAGGUGUUAGUAUUUCAAAUGACCUGUCCUGGGUUAACAAAUAAAUGCAAUUAUGAAGAAAGCAUGGCAGCAAGAUUCAGCAUGACCUCUAAAACUUUGACAAACUUCUAUAGAUGAGCGGUGGAGAGUAUAUUGACCAGCUGCUUCACAGCCUGGUAUGGAAACACCAAUGCCCUCGAAUGGAAAAUGCUACAAAAAGUAGUGGAUAUGGCCCAGUCCACCAUGGGUCAGCAACCCCAACUGUUGUGCACAUUGACAUGAAAUGUUGUCGCAGGAAAGCAGCAUCCUUCAUCAGGGACCACCCCAUCACCCAGGACAUGCUCUCCUCUCGGUGCUGCCAUCAGGAAUUAGGAACAGAAACCUUAAGACUCACACCCAUGGUUCAGGAACAGUUAUUACCCCUCAGCCAUCAGGUUGUUGAACCAAAUGUGAUCAUUUUCCUUGUCCCAUCAUGGAAAUGUUCCUACAACCGAUGAGAUUUUCAAGGACCCUUCAUUUCAUGUUCUUGAUAUUUUUGCUUAUUUAUUUAUUAUUAUUAAUUCUUAAUUUUGUAU